CCUACGGGGGGCAGCAGUGAGGAAUAUUGGUCAAUGGGCGAGAGCCUGAACCAGCCAAGUCGCGUGAGGGAAGACGGUCCUAUGGAUUGUAAACCUCUUUUGUCGGGGAGCAAAAAGGCCUCGUGAGGCCACAAGUGAGAGUACCCGAAGAAAAAGCAUCGGCUAACUCCGUGCCAGCCGCCGCGGUAAUACGGAGGAUGCGAGCGUUAUCCGGAUUUAGUGGGUUUAAAGGGUGCGUAGGCGGACUGGAAAGGCAGCGGUAAAAUCGAGAGGCUCAACCUCUUUCCGCCGUUGAAACUGUCGGUCGUGAGUGGGCGAGAAGUAUGCGGAAUGCGUGGUGUAGCGGUGAAAUGCAUAGAUAUCACGAAGAACUCCGAUUGCGAAGGCAGCAUACCGGCGCCCGACUGACGCUGAGGCACGAAAGCGUGGGUAUCGAACAGGAUUAGAUACCCUGGUAGUC
rnacentral:rRNA from 1 species